UUUCUCUAGAUGCUUCCCCCACCGUUUCAGACCCUAAACCCACCUUUUCGACUCCUGCUCUCACCGCAUCCCUCCUCGCCUCACUCUUCUCUGCACCAAGCCGCUCGAUUUAGGAAGGGCUUCACCAUUUCUCUUCAAUCGAGGUCUCUAUUUCUGGAUCUUUCUUUUGCUUUCGCCUAUUCUCUCUUGCAUAUCUCCAUUUGCUUUGUUUCUGGCCGUCCUUUUUUCUCCGCUUUUGCUUCUGUUUUCUUCAUCGUGUUGCUUCGUUGUUCAAAACGCGGACCAUUUUGCUUAGUUGUUCUUCGAUUAGUGGUCACAGUUGUUAAUUUCUCUGCCUUUUUGGUUCGAUUCCAAUAAUUUUUUGGGUUUUUGGUUCGUUGAAUCCGGGUUUUCCAAAAAUUUUGUGCCCAUCUUGCGACCGAUCUAAUCCGGCGUUUCCAGAUUCGAGAAACAGUCCCUUUCAGAGUUUUGGAUUUUCGAUUUUGAUUCUUGGAACUCUCUGUGCUAAAGGUACAAAUAAUGGUCUGGACUAUGAAGGAAGCUUGCUUUGUGUUGGAAGUACGUUGAUGUCUUGGGCUCCCAUCGAAAUCUCUGAUAUCACUCCUCAUAGUUUGGUAGAAAGAAAAUGCCGGAGCCGCAGCAGAACGGGCAGUCCACUGCUGGAGCUAUGAGUAAUGGGAGUAGUGAUUCCCGUGUGGCAGCAAAUGGGAAUAUGUGAAGAGAAAACUGACUUGGCCAUCUAUGAGCAAUUUCAAUACCAGGUUGUGGAUUUGAUCUUAUCAUAUGCUACAUUUUAUUUGACUCAUUGCAUAGACUUUGUAGAGUUGGAUUCAUUAGCAUUUGAUUUUCUUGGAUUUUUUACAUGUAUUUGCGAUGACACGGGACGAAUUCUAGGAUGGAGGUGGAAGUAUUUGGAAGAAUCAGAUGUGCCUAUUCAUUUGCAAGAUUUGGGAGCAGCCUCUCCAUAAAUGGGGGUAAGGCUAGCCGACAUUUACCUCUCCCAGACCCUGCGUAAAGCGGGAGCCUUGUGCACUGGAUACGAUUAAUGUUUGCAGAUAUAUGGAUCAUUUGCAAAUUCACUUCAUCACACAUACAUUAAAUGAUUGCUAAGAACUCUACUUCUGCAGCCAUUAUUGGGCCUUCUAGGACAUUGUCUUCGGCGAUGUAUGUCGAGUCCAAGAGGGUGCGGGUGUGGACAGAGAGCAAACAGGUUAUGGUGGCCACCGUGAAAAGAGGUUGGAAGACCUUGGUGUUAGGUUCCAAGAGCCAUGAGCUUGCUGAUGAGUGGUCCUCAAUGCAUUGAUGGAUACUCUCUUUUAUCAAAAAGGAGCCAUUUUUUAUGAUGAGAACAGAAGAGUUGCCACAAUGCUUGAGGUUGCCAACACCAAGAGUUGUAGCUGGUUCAACAAUUUUUUUACAAAAUAAGUUCCAAUUCCUUAGUGGUUCAGCUUUACAGUGAAUUUUUCAUUUGGGCAUGUCUCAGCAACCAUCAAUACAGAAUACAACACCAAAAGAUUUACAGGGAUAUAAAUGGAGAUUUUGCCAUAUAACUCAAGGUGAAGAUGAGUCUGGGUUGGAACGGCUUCAUCAAUGUGCAGAUAAUGAGCUACAAGUUUGCCUCAAUGAUAAGGAAUUUCAAUGAGUUUCGCACAAAACUUGCUCGAUUGACCAGGUUAUGUUCUACUAAAGAUAUUACACUACUUUUCUGAUUGGAUAAGUUGACUCGGGUCACAAUGAUAUAGCUUUUCAGUUUAUUAAUACUAACAUAUUAGUUUUGCCACGUGGGAAUGCCAUAAUAUAAAUUUUAUAGAAAUGAUGAAUGGGCCAAUUUGAAACACCAAAUUUCAGCUGAUGAAUGAACUCUUAUAUGACUGCCACUGCAUAUACUCAUCUUUUAUUUUGUUGGGUUUUAUUUUUAUAUCAUUUUUUUUGGGUAAAAUGCAAUGUUGGUUUCGCAAAGAACUGACCUUUAUCUUAUCUACCGCUCUAUAUGCAUGUAGUUUUCUCUUUUUUGGUACUCAAGUAUUUGGUUGAUUUUAUUUAACAAUCUUUUGGAAUAUAGAGAAUUUUUGCACCAAUGUCUUAUUCCUGGAUUUCCUGAUGAUUUAGCAUUGAGAUGUUAGGCAAAGGUGUCUCAUGGGAAUCACAGAUUGCUCAAAACUAUCUCAAAGAAGUGGAGAGAUUUGUUACUAGCUCAGACUAUGCCAACUAUGAAGCUAUAGAAAAAUGGUGCGGAAAUUGGCUAUUUGUUAUUGACGAGAUAUCAUCCAAUAGCUAAUAAGUAUGCUCCUAUAUUCGACACUUAAAAUAUGUCUGGAACUAAUGUUACCAUUACUACUUUCUUUCUUAUAGAAGGAAAGGUUUUUCAUUUUCUACUUAUUAUAGGGGAUCCCUUCAUAUAUAUUAGUUAAUUCCACACAUAUCAGUUAAUUCUUGCUAAGAUUUGUCCAAACCGAUCCUAUAAUGAUAGUUGUGCAAACUAUCAUUAUAGGGGAUCCCUUCAUAUAUAUUAGUUAAUUCUUGCUAAGAUUUGUCCAAACUGUUUUUGUUAUGUCAAAGUUGAAACCUUUUUUUAGGGUUGUAAAUAGAUUUCACAUGUAUGUAAAUAGUAUAUGUACAGAGUAACUUUCUA